rnacentral:tRNA from 1 species
UCCCUGGUGGUCCAGGGUUAGGACUCUGCACUUCCAGUGCAGGGGCCCAGGGUUCAAUUCCUGGUCAGGGAA